rnacentral:lncRNA from 1 species
CGCGGCAGGGGAGCGAGAGCCCGGAGGAGCGGUCGUCGGCGCCGUCGAAGAGGCCCGGCUCGUAGGCGCCCUUCCGCUUCAGCGACAGGCCGUGGAACUCCUCCGUGAGCACUACCAUCGCCGCCGCCGUCACACUGUUAGCAGAAGCAGAGAAGAGAGGUUUCGUGGGCAAGAAGAAGAAGAAGAUAGCGGGGAAGCGGGGAUUGGUAUUGUGAUUUCUGAUCAUUCUCUGUCCAAAGCGUUCUGCUUAUUACAUAUUUGUACCUCUCACUACUGCCUCAACCAUUCCGGCCCACAUACACGCACAUUGGGCUUGCGAACACGUCUUGCCACUCGCGGCCCAUUCACAGCCGGCGUCUUCUCCACAGCGCCUUCAUCAGCCACCGGCGUCGCCUUCUGCGUCGCGUCUUCUUCAGCCGCACCUUCCACUGGAGAGCCCGUGGGUGGAGUCCUGACAUUCCCCCCUUGUAAAGAACCUGCUUGUCCCCAAGCAGGCGCUCGAGGAAAGGCUUGCCGUAGAGCAGUAGCAUCCUCCCAAGUUGCCAGAGAUGCCGGCAAACCGGACCACUGAACCAGCACUUGAGGUUGACCAUCAGAUGCCAGGCGACGUCGCAACACACGCUGGGGAACCUGAAAACUGUCCAAGGAAUCAGGUAACUGAGCAAUGGAAGUAGCCUCCGGCACCGCGCGCUUCAGCUGGGAAACGUGAAAGACAGGAUGAAUAGUGGAUGACGCCGGGAGUUCCAAUUUGUAGGCCACAGGUCCCACUGUUGACAACACCUUGAAGGGCCCAAAGAAACGGAAGGCCAACUUCUGGUUAGCGCGAUGAGCGAGCGAAGACUGCACAUAAGGUUGAAGGCGGACAUAGACCAUAUCACCAAUUUGAAAGGAACGCUCGGACCUCUUCUUAUCAGCCUGCAUCUUCAUGCGAAGUUGGGCACGAGCCAAAUGUUGUUUGACUAAAUCCAUCAUGACUUUCUUCUCCUCUAUCCAUUCCUGCAGGGAGGGAAUCGGACAGACAGCAGAAGACUCAACUCCAAAGUGACGAGGAGCAUAGCCAUACAAGACCUCAAAGGGAGAAAAACCCAAGGCUGAGUGCCAACUGGAAUUAUACCAAAACUCAGCUAAAUAGAGCCAAUCCACCCAUUUGCUGGGGCAAGCAUUCACAAAGCACCUCAAAUAUGUUUCCAUGCACUGAUUCACACGUUCAGUCUGCCCAUCGGAUUGUGGAUGAUACGCAGAACUCAUGUUGAGAGAAACCCCUGCCAAAGAAAAGAGUGUCUUCCACAGCUGACUGGUGAAAAUACGAUCCCUGUCAGAUAUAAUGGCAGUAGGCAAACCAUGCAACUUGUAAAUGUUCUGCAUGAAGACAUGAGCAACUGAAGCUGCUGUGAAUGGAUGUCGUAAGGGAAUAAAGUGGCUAAACUUGGAAAAUUUAUCCACCACCACUAAGACACAAUUCUUGCCAUGAGAAAGAGGAAGUCCUUCCACAAAAUCAAGGCUCACUGUUCGCCAGGCGCCGUCAGGUAUAGCCAAAGGCUGAAGCAGUCCUGGGUACCUACUCCUGUCGGGCUUGGCCUGUAAACAAGUAGAGCAUGCCGAAACAAAGUCUUGUACACUCUUCUUGAGACCUGACCAUGCAAAUAACUGCUUGAUGCGCUUGUAAGUGACUGGAAUACCAGAAUGACCACCGAGAGGAGAGCUAUGCAUAGCAGCCAAAAUGGAGCGCUGAAGAGAAUCAUUCUGGCCAACCCAUAGCCGGCCUUUAAAACGAAGCAGACCAUCAGAGAGGGAAAAAUUAGGAACAGCAGUGUUGUCAACAGCCAGCUUGGUGAGAAUGUCCUUGGAUUUGGGAUCACUCAAAUAUCCAUCCUGUAACGCUUGACACCAUUGUGGAGUUGAUACUGAAACAGCAUACAAGGAAACCAGUGGGUGAGCUCUUCUGGACAACGCAUCAGCGACACCAUUUUCAGUACCCUGCUUGUACACAAUACGGUAUUGCAAACCCAUCAGCUUAGUGAAGACUUUUUGUUGCCAGGGAGUGUUCAAACGCUGUUCAUUGAGAUGCACCAGACUUUUUUGAUCAGUGAAGAUAGUAAAUUCUCCUUGUAACAAAUAGGAUCUCCACUGUUCCACGGCUACCAAAAUAGCCAAAUAUUCCUUUUCAUAUGUCGAGAGACCCUGUGUCUUGAUUCCCAAAGGUUUGCUAAUAAACGCCAAUGGGUGACCGUCCUGAAGUAACACAGCCCCUACACCUGUCUGGCAAGCGUCUGUUUCAAUACAGAAGGGCUUAGAAAAAUCAGGCAAACUUAACACUGGAGCUGAACUAAGCAGCUUUUUGAGUGUUGAAAAUGCCAGCUCAUGAUCAGAUGUCCAUAUAUAUAAUGUCCCUUUUUUGAGUAAGUCGGUCAAGGGCUUGGCAAUGACUGCAAAAUGGCGCACAAAUCUCCUAUAGUAACCCGCAAGACCGAGAAAACUCCUUAAUUCCUUAACAUUAGUUGGACUCGGCCAGUGCAAAAUGGCGUCAACCUUGGAAGGGUCAGUGGCCACCCCUUUCUCACUAAUAAUAUGCCCCAAGUAGGAUAUGGAUCGAGCUGCAAAGGUACAUUUGGAACGUUUGACAAACCAUGAGUCUUUUUUUAACAGAGAAAAGACUUGUUCUAAAUGUGUCAGGUGCUCCUCGAAUGUGGAACUGAACACCAAAAUGUCAUCAAAGAAGACAAUAACACAUUUCCGCAGGAGAGGACGCAAUGUGGUGUUCAUAGCACCCUGAAAUGUAGCAGGGGCGCCAGAUAAUCCAAAAGCCAUGACCAGAAAUUCAAACUGUCCAUGAUGAGUCUGAAAUGCUGUUUUAUAUUCCUCACCAGCUUUCAGCCGCACCUGAUGAUAUCCUGAUAACAAGUCUAACGUGGAGAACCAACUGGCGCCAGACAAUUCAUCAAUGAGCUGCUCAAAAAUAGGUAUAGGAAACCUAGUUUUGACUGUCAAGGCAUUUAAGUAGCGAUAAUCCACGCAAAAACGAAAUGAUCCAUCCUUUUUGCGAACCAACAACACUGGAGAGGAAAAUGAAGAUGAGCUGGGCUGUAUUAUACCUUUCUGUAACAUGUCGGCCACUUGAGCCUCAAUCUCGUCUUUUAGAGCAGGAGGAUAACGGUAGGGGCGAACACACACAGGUCGGGCUCCAGCAACCAAGGGAAUAGAGUGAUCACACUGCCGGACAGGAGGUAAUGAAUCUGGCACAGAGAACAAUUGCGAGUAGGUGUCGAGCAGGGAGGCAACUGCAGGAUGCACCACAGUUUCCUGUGACGGUUUAACCACUGCUACAUGAAGGAACAGAUCAUCCGGUAUACCUUGUCCGCUGCCUUGCAAAAGCACUGGAGUCCCCUGGAACUGAAUGAUCAUCCAUUUAUCUUUCCAAUCCACUCUCAUCGGGCUAAAUUUCUCCAGCCAGUCCAUUCCAAGAAUUAAAUCAUAGGAAGGCAGAGACAACACCUUGAGAUCUUGAAUAAAAGUGCACUGUUGAAUUGUCCAUUCAGCUUGAGGUAAGACAGCCAUACACUGUAACACAUUACCAUCAGCAACCUUAACCUGAACAUUUGUAGGCACCAACUGAAGAGAACCAAUUUUGUCCACCAUGUGCUGGCUCAGAAAUGAAUGGGUACUGCCAGAGUCUACCAAAAUAUGGAGAGGAUACUGAUGCAUUGACCCCAUAAAUUGUAAGGCUCUCUUAGCUGUCUGUCCAGACAAGGGUGCAGGUGAAAGAGCCAAAAAUAUUUGUUCAUUACCCAACACAUCCGCUGCAAUUUCUUGUGCAUCUGAGUCUGCCACCUGGAAUAAUUCAAAGACUUCUUGCAUGGCAUGAAGUUGAACUGUUGUAGCACAUGUAUGACCCUUAGACCACUUCUCAGCACAGCGGUCACACAGCCCUUUAGCACGCCUAUACGCUCGGAGAGCCUUGAACUUGUCAUCAGUGGAGGGAACAUGUGUGUUGGAAGGUUUGCUUAGUCCUUGCGGCUCUUGGCUUGUCUGGCCCGAAUGAGACUGAACAACCAUAGAAGGGCCUCGGUAUCCCGGUUUGGACCAGAAACCAGGAUCACGCUUCUGGAACUCGCGACGAUGCCCCGGAUCCGUCACUUCCUCCUGCAAAAGGGCCAAACAACAAGCAGUAUCCAGGUCGCCAGGGCGUUGCAGAAGAACAACAGCACGUAGAUCAGGCCUUAGCCCUUCGACAAAACGUGUAGUGAAGUACAGUGGGUCAGCUGUGUGUUGAUAUGCUGAUAAUUGGUCCACCAGAGUAGAAAAAUUCUCAAUAUACUCUGAAACUACACCAGUUUGCCUAAUACGAAACAGCUGACGCAAGAGCGACUGGUAUUGAUCACGACCGUAACGACCAUGAAGAAGGGUGCAAAACAACGGCCAACUAAUAUGAUGAUACUGAUGCUCUAAGGACUGAAACCAGCAAGCAACAGACGGUGUCAAAUGCAUAGUAGCGAUUUUGACCCAUGCCUCAGGUUCAACAGAAUACAUGUCGAAGUAUUUUUCACAACGCGAAAUCCAAAGUCGCGGAUUAUCGCCAUCAAACAUGUGAAAAGGCAGUUGAGGCAUUCUGCUGGCUGCACGCGGACCAGCGUCCAGAAAACGCUGACGGGCUAAGCACUCAUCAUAUAAGGAACCAUGGAAACGAGGUGGGGAGGAAGGGGAAGGUCCCGUACCCUUGACCGGGCCAGGGAGGAGGAUCGGGUCCGAUCCAAAACCCUGAUCCCGGUGGAAGUGAUCGUCGCGGUGGCCGAUCUGGCCGAUUGGUUUGGUGAAGCCGAGAUUGCUGUUCGCGAAAUCCGGCUUAGAGAGAAGUCCAGGUUGCAGCGGCGCCUGCUCGAGGACGGAUCGGUCAACUUGUUUGCCGAGCUUGCGCAAUUCCAACUUCAGAUCGUCCAUGGCGGCAUCGACCUUAGGCCGCCACUGGUCGAGAUCGGCCGUCGCCGACUCCAGAGCGCCCAGUCGUCCUUCCUUGCGACGAUCAGCCUCCGUGAACUGAUUCUCGAGCGCAGCAAACUUCUUCGUCAUCUCAUCAAGGAUGAGCUUCGUAUUGGCAUCCAUUGUUUGGCGAAGUUGCUGCGAGCGAGUGUUGUAAUGGUGAGCAACAGACUGCGCCAGAGCGACGACUCCCGGGACCGACGAAUCUGAUACCAGAAUGUUAGCAGAAGCAGAGAAGAGAGGUUUCGUGGGCAAGAAGAAGAAGAAGAUAGCGGGGAAGCGGGGAUUGGUAUUGUGAUUUCUGAUCAUUCUCUGUCCAAAGCGUUCUGCUUAUUACAUAUUUGUACCUCUCACUACUGCCUCAACCAUUCCGGCCCACAUACACGCACAUUGGGCUUGCGAACACGUCUUGCCACUCGCGGCCCAUUCACAGCCGGCGUCUUCUCCACAGCGCCUUCAUCAGCCACCGGCGUCGCCUUCUGCGUCGCGUCUUCUUCAGCCGCACCUUCCACUGGAGAGCCCGUGGGUGGAGUCCUGACACACACUCGCACUACUACCUUGGUCCGUCGUUGUUGGUAGGGCCCCUCCUCUGCUCUCCGACUAGCUUCGCUUCUCGUGGGUCCUUGGCUCCUUGCGUGUUCUAGAUCGCUGUGGUGGACGUGCAAUGUAUGGCGGGAGAUAUAUGAGCUCCGGUCUGGAGAGCUGAGUGGACAAGUGGGAA